AGAGUUUGAUCCUGGCUCAGAAUCAACGCUGGCGGCGUGCCUCAGACAUGCAAGUCGAACGAUUAAACUUUCCUUCGGGAAAGAUAUAAAGUGGCGCACGGGUGAGUAACACGUAGGUAAUCUACCUUUGAGUGGGGAAUAACGUUCGGAAACGAACGCUAAUACCGCAUAAUGCAGCGGCACCGCAAGGUGACAGUUGUUAAAGGAGCAAUUCGCUUAAAGAGGAGCCUGCGGCAGAUUAGCUAGUUGGUAAGGUAAUGGCUUACCAAGGCUACGAUCUGUAACCGACCUGAGAGGGUGGUCGGUCACACUGACACUGAAUAACGGGUCAGACUCCUACGGGAGGCAGCAGUCGGGAAUUUUGGGCAAUGGGCGAAAGCCUGACCCAGCAACGCCGCGUGAAGGAUGAAGUCUUUCGGGAUGUAAACUUCGUAAGAAUAGGAAGAAUAAAUGACGGUACUAUUUGUAAGGUCCGGCUAACUACGUGCCAGCAGCCGCGGUAAUACGUAGGGACCAAGCGUUGUUCGGAUUUACUGGGCGUAAAGGGCACGUAGGCGGCAAUUCAAGUCAGUUGUGAAAUCUCCGAGCUUAACUCGGAACGGUCAACUGAUACUGUUUUGCUAGAGUACAGAAGGGGCAAUCGGAAUUCUUGGUGUAGCGGUGAAAUGCGUANAUAUCAAGAGGAACACCUGANGGUGAAGACGGGUUGCUGGGCUGAUACUGACGC
rnacentral:rRNA from 1 species